UACGUAGGUGGCAAGCGUUGUCCGGAAUUAUUGGGCGUAAAGCGCGCGCAGGCGGUCCUUUAAGUCUGAUGUGAAAGCCCACGGCUCAACCGUGGAGGGUCAUUGGAAACUGGGGGACUUGAGUACAGAAGAGAAGAGUGGAAUUCCACGUGUAGCGGUGAAAUGCGUAGAUAUCGGGAGGAACACCAGUGGCGAAGGCGACUUCCUGGCCUGUUCUUGACGCUGAGGCGCGAAAGCUAGGGGAGCAAACGGG
rnacentral:rRNA from 1 species